rnacentral:rRNA from 1 species
GACGAACGCUGGCGGCGUGCCUAAUACAUGCAAGUCGAGCGGACCUCUUCGGAGGUCAGCGGCGGACGGGUGAGCAACACGUGGGCAACCUGCCUGUAAGACUGGGAUAACACCGGGAAACCGGUGCUAAUACCGGAUAAUCCUUUUCCUCACAUGAGGGGAAGCUGAAAGACGGCAUCUCGCUGUCACUUACAGAUGGGCCCGCGGCGCAUUAGCUAGUUGGGGGGGUAACGGCCCACCAAGGCGACGAUGCGUAGCCGACCUGAGAGGGUGAUCGGCCACACUGGGACGGAGACACGGCCCAGACUCCUACGGGAGGCAGCAGUAGGGAAUCUUCCGCAAUGGACGAAAGUCUGACGGAGCAACGCCGCGUGAGCGAAGAAGGCCUUCGGGUCGUAAAGCUCUGUUGUCAGGGAAGAACACGUACCGGAGUAACUGCCGGUACCUUGACGGUACCUGACCAGAAAGCCACGGCUAACUACGUGCCAGCCGCCGCGGUAAAAC